AACACUCUUCUUCUUCUUUCUCAAAUGGCAAAACUCCCCAAUUUUUUCUUCUUCUUUCCUCCCAAACCCACGAACUCCGUUUCCUUCGCUGCCGCAUCUCCCUCGCUAGCAUUCCGAACGAUAUGUGCCUCCCUCACUGCCAUUCAGAUCCGAACGCCAUGCUUCCUUCACUGUCUCAUCAGACCCACCGCCACACGAGAGAGAUUCCUCGUCAAUCGCAGACCUCACAGCUCAUCUGUGAAGCUGUUGUUCCCUCGCACCUCCCGGCUCAGAUUCGACCAUGCCGCUUCUUCACACUUCACCAGACCAGAAUUAUCGUCGGCUGUCUUCCUUGUCGCCGUCGGACCUGUUCUAGGUGAGUUUUAGCGAAACAUGGAAUUUAUAGGGAGCACCGUUAAGGGAAAUUGGAAGUCACCUUCAUCCUUUGGUGUUAGGGCCGCUACUUCUAGUUUUCGUUAUAGUUUGGUCGUCAGAGCUUCGUAUCCAUAAAGUUUCGAUUGAAGAAAAGGUAAAGAUGUACCGGCGAUGGCGCAGUGGAAUUCGUGAUCGUGUCACUGGGACUAGACCUUUUCGCUUCCGCAUCUUGAAAUAUGUUAUUUGGUUUUACUAUUUAAAAUUUAUUACUAAGGAUUAUUUCUUUUAUAUGCCGUUGAUUAGCCUUUACGAAUUUUUGGUACCCUAUUAACUGUUUUAACAAUUGCAUUUA